UGGGGGAUAUUGCACAAUGGGGGGAACCCUGAUGCAGCGACGCCGCGUGAGGGAAGACGGCCUUCGGGUUGUAAACCUCUGUCGCAGGGGACGAAGGAGAUGACGGUACCCUGUGAGGAAGCCACGGCUAACUACGUGCCAGCAGCCGCGGUAAUACGUAGGUGGCGAGCGUUGUCCGGAAUUACUGGGUGUAAAGGGAGCGUAGGCGGGAUAUUAAGUUGAAUGUAUAAACUACCGGCUUAACCGAUAGAAGCGUUCAAAACUGAUAUUCUUGAGUGAAGUAGAGGCAGGCGGAAUUCCUAG
rnacentral:rRNA from 1 species